rnacentral:lncRNA from 1 species
GGGAAUCAAUCGUGAGUAUUAUAAUUUUUUUCAAUUGUAAAAGAUCCGAGAAACUCUGGUCUUCCUUCCCCUGGUACGAAACGUAUCAGUGGGUUGAAAACGUUUUCAGAUUACAAAACAAAUCGUUUACAAAUUAUAUAUAAUCUACUUCUAGCUAUAAUUCACGAAAGGCAAACACAUUCUGAUCAUAAAAUCGAAUGCCAUCUGUAAUUAGUUUAAAGCUCGUAGGGCUUCUCUUCUUACUAUUGCUAUGUGAUGGGCAUGAGUUCGAUGCAAAUAUUGUAGCCGAUAAUAUGUCCAGUCAUCGAAUUGCAGUCGUUACUUCACCAAGUAAAGGUGCAGCUGAAAAUCCACCAGGCAUUGUAGCUGGUAGUCCACCGGCAGUAGAUGAACCAUGUAGACAUCCUUGUCCUUAGUUAAUCAUUGAAUCAUGGUACCGUUGUUAUAUGAAGUGUAAUUGUGUGUUCAUCGACAAAAUAUCAAAGAAAAAUAUUUCGGAAUUCAGAUUAUAUUUAUGGUAUCAAAUUAUGGUAAAAUAUUGUAAUAUGAGAUUUGAUAAUACCAAAUCUUGUACAAGGAGUAUGGCCUGAAAAUAGGUCCAAAGGUUCAAAAAAGAUCAGAUAUUGAAAAACAGACCUUGGAAUCCAAGCCAUGCCAAAUCGAGCUUUCCACCCAUGUUUAUUGUUGGUAGGAAGGCAUAUCAAAUUGUUGGCCACUUUCAAACCACCGACUGGAAAUCUGGUCGGUCUAAAAGGGCUCGUCUUCUUCUGACGAGAUGUGCAGCGUGCGAGAUGGCUGGAAUCGGAGAUCCCUAAUUAAUCAGAUUAGGGAUGCGUGAGCAGCAGAAUGGGUGUGGGAAAAUCAGUUGUUUCCAAAUACAACAGUUAGGUGAGUCAAAUUGUAUU